GAUGAACGCUAGCGGCAGGCCUAAUACAUGCAAGUCGGACGGGAUUUAGGAGCUUGCUUCUGAUGAGAGUGGCGCACGGGUGCGUAACACGUAUGUAACCUACCUUUAUCAGGGGGAUAGCCUCUCGAAAGAGAGAUUAAGCCCGCAUAAAAUCACAGCACAGCAUUGUGUAAUGAUCAAAUAUUUAUAGGAUAAAGAUGGGCAUGCGGAACAUUAGCUAGAUGGCGGGGUAACGGCCCACCAUGGCGACGAUGUUUAGGGGAUCUGAGAGGAUGGCCCCCCACACUGGUACUGAGACACGGACCAGACUCCUACGGGAGGCAGCAGUAAGGAAUAUUGGUCAAUGGGCGGAAGCCUGAACCAGCCAUGCCGCGUGCAGGAAGACGGCCCUACGGGUUGUAAACUGCUUUUAUACGGGAAUAAACCCAGAUACGUGUAUCUGGCUGAAUGUACUGUAAGAAUAAGGAUCGGCUAACUCCGUG
rnacentral:rRNA from 1 species